CUAUUGCCUGAGCACUCCAGCCAUCCUGAGUGCAGCAAAUUUAAGAAGCAGUAUACAGCUGAAGGGCUGUCCUGAAUUCAUCUUACAGCAAAUUGUGAAAACGAGUUGUCAAAUACAAAACAAGAUUUCCUGCAAGGCAUAUACUGGAAUAAAGACAAUUCAGGAAACUAAUAGGAAGCCAUUUUGGUGACCAGAGUUAUGGAAUGGAGGACAAAGAAUGUUAAUUAUUCCAGAUUAGAGGUUGUAGGUAUAAAGGGCAAUGAAGAGUAUGAAAAAUGUUUCUGGAGUUAAAAGUGAUACUGGGAGCUCACGAAUGGACAGAAAGCGUGGGAAAUACGCAGUGAAUAUUGAGCACUCUGGAAAACAGCUGCCAUUCCUGAGCCCAACAAAUUGUGAAGCUCACAACUCAGAAUGUCAGUUUUCUACAUCAGCUGGUCCUACUGGCACCAACUUAACUGAGCUCUGCACCGACUCAGGGCCCGUCGGUCACUCAGAAUUCCCAAACCAAGAAUUUCCACAGGUAAUGUUUGGGAACAACACUGCUUCUCUGGGUUAAGAUAAAAUCCAUGUGAAAGUCCACUACUCAAUCAAUCGACACUGACAUCUUUCUUGUGAGAGCUGUAGAAUUGAAUGUAUGGGAGGUAGAAAA
rnacentral:lncRNA from 1 species